GUGAGUCAUCGAAUCUUUGAACGCACCUUGCGCCACGUGGUAUUCCACGGGGCACGCCUGUUUGAGUGUCACGUAAACCCAUCGCGUCUCGGAUUGUCAUGAUCUGAGGGGCGGAUUUGGACGCUGCCGUAGUGGCUCGUCUCGAAAUGCAUUAGCCAGUCCGAGGACGCGCGCCGUUGGUGUGAUAAUUCACUUUGCGCCGCUGGUCGUGUCCGACGAAGGCUCACAGUCGCCCGCAAGGGCAAUACUUUAAUGCUCUGGCCUCAAAUCAGGUGGGACUACCCGCUGAACUUAAGCAUAUCAAUAAGCGGAGGA
rnacentral:misc_RNA from 1 species